rnacentral:rRNA from 1 species
UGAGGAACAUGACCUUCGGCGGGGGAUAGCCGGCCCAACGGCCGGGUAAUACCGCGUACGACCACAUGGGGACAUCCCUGAGUGGUGAAAGCAGCAAUGCGCCGAUGGAGUGCCUCGCGGCCUAUCAGCUAGUUGGUGGGGUAACGGCUCACCAAGGCAACGGACGGGUAGCUGGUCUGAGAGGAUGGCCAGCCACAUUGGGACUGAGACACGGCCCAGACUCCGUAGGGAGG